GUGGCAUACCUAUUUUCCAUGAUCCUUCAUUUUAAUGCAAACAAAAUUGACACGUAUUACCCAAUUAGUCUGCCUAGACGCUCCUUUAGGUACUCUUUGAUCACCAAUUCUGUCUGCAGCUGGUGCUGCAUAAUGUGUCUUUAAAACGACUCGUACCAGCAAAACAUUCACGUGAGCUAUUUCGCUAGUGCUGUUACACGUAUCUGUCACUGGUUGCCUGAAAAAAAGGCAGUGACAAUUUGACGUCUUCAUGUCUGUUCGAUGUAAACAUGACACCUGCAUGAAGAGACGAAGUGGGAGCAGUGGCCUAGUCGCCAGCUGCAUAAAAGGAGUUUAUUUGGAUGUUAUUGUGAUUAGUACCAGUGUUAAUCGGCAUCCGUCGAAAUAUUCAUCGAAAGGAAACAAGGUGGGGCUAGCUUCCAGAUCUAAUCAACGUGUGCGAUUGCCAAUGAAAAAAAUGCAAAGUGUGCUGUGUACGUGAACGUUGGGUGCUGUCGAUUGCGUGUGUUUCAUGCCAUCGUUCGCUUUGCAGGUAAUUCCAUGCAGGUGUAAAUUGCAUAUGGCACAUGCUCAUCGUACACAAACAUGAAAAGUGUCCGCUCGCUGCAUCUAGCACAUGCCACUUGUGUGUGUCCUGUGUUCGCAGCCAAAUGCGUACCUCUAUGUUGAUGCCCCGCCACGGUGGUCUAGUGGUUAUGGCGCUCGACUGCUGACCCGAAGGUCACGGGAUCGAAUCCCGGCCGCGGCGGCUGCAUUUUCGAUGGAGGCGAAAAUGUUUGAGGCCCGUGUACUUAGAUUUAGGUGCACGUUAAAGAACCCCAGGUGGUCGAAAUUUCCGAAGCCCUCCACUACGGCGUCUCUCAUAAUCAUAUCGUGGUUUUGGGACGUUAAACCCCAGAUAUUACCUCUAUGUUGAUACUUUCAGCGAACUGCAAAGGCGAGAGUGAUGAUACACUCAGUAGCUACAAUUUUCAUUGCCUCUUCAUCGCUGUCGUACAUGUUCUAUUGCAUCUGAGCUGUUUUGCCGUUUGUUGUGCUCUGUGGUGACUGUGUAGCGUUUGAGCGAACAAUGUUGUCCUUAGAUGUGUAUCUGCAGUGUUGGAGCGGUUCUAGGUGCUAAUUGUUUUAUGUGUUGUGCAUCGUGCAAUGUGUUUGUGUUACGAAGUGAACCAUGCAAGCAAUCAGUCACGUGUUCCUGUGUGUCAAACUAUAAAAGCUGGAUUUAUCUGCUUCUCA